GCAAAGAUAGCUUAAAGAUAAAGCAAAGCACUGAAAACGCUUAAAUAGGGGUUUGACCCCCCUUCUUAGCA
rnacentral:tRNA from 1 species